GAUGAACGCUGGCGGCGUGCCUAAUACAUGCCAGUCGAGCGAACGGACGAGAAGCUUGCUUCUCUGAUGUUAGCGGCGGACGGGUGAGUAACACGUGGAUAACCUACCUAUAAGACUGGGAUAACUUCGGGAAACCGGAGCUAAUACCGGAUAAUAUUUUGAACCGCAUGGUUCAAAAGUGAAAGACGGUCUUGCUGUCACUUAUAGAUGGAUCCGCGCUGCAUUAGCUAGUUGGUAAGGUAACGGCUUACCAAGGCAACGAUGCAUAGCCGACCUGAGAGGGGGAUCGGCCACACUGGAACUGAGACACGGUCCAGACUCCUACGGGAGGCAGCAGUAGGGAAUCUUCCGCAAUGGGUGAAAGCCUGACGGAGCAACGCCGCGUGAGUGAUGAAGGUCUUCGGAUCGUAAAACUCUGUUAUUAGGGAAGAACAUAUGUGUAAGUAACUGUGCACAUCUUGACGGUACCUAAUCAGAAAGCCACGGCUAACUACGUG
rnacentral:rRNA from 1 species